GUACUGGUUAAUGUUGCCUGUCCAUCCUUUCCACGCUCCUCCCCCGAGAAUGUCAGCCCCUUGAAGCCGCGGUCUGUCUAUGCUGGUCGUACCCUCAGAGCCUAAGAUGACACAGAGCUCAGGAAAUGAACACCCUCGAAGGGGGCUCCCCAAAACCCAGGGAGAGGUGGCCCACGCCUCUGGAAUCUAGCUUCCAGGCCCUUCAGAGAGCCUGCGGAACCCGCUGCAGAGGCGUCAGAUGAGGCCGAGCGGCGCGCCCGCGGCUGCCACCUGCAGUACCAGCGGGCCGGUGUGCGCUUCCUCGCCCCCUUCGCGGCCCACCCGCUGGACGGCGGCCGCCGCCUCACGCACCUGCUUGGCCCCGACUGGCUGCUAGACGUGUCCCACCUCGUGGCGCCACACGCCCGCGUGCUGGACUCGCGUGUAGCCUCUCUGGAGGGUGGCCGUGUCCUGGUGGGCCGGGAGCCCGGUGUCACCUCCAUUGAGGUGCGUUCCCCACUGUCUGACUCCAUCCUGGGGGAGCAGGCGCUGGCUGUGACAGACGACAAGGUCUCAGUGCUGGAGCUGAGGGUGCAGCCAGUG
rnacentral:sRNA from 1 species